rnacentral:rRNA from 1 species
UACGUAGGGUGCGAGCGUUGUCCGGAAUUAUUUGGGCGUAAAGGGCUCGUAGGCGGUUUGUCGCGUCGGGAGUGAAAACCUUGGGCUUAACUCAGGGCUUGCUUUCGAUACGGGCAGACUAGAGGUAUGCAGGGGAGAACGGAAUUCCUGGUGUAGCGGUGGAAUGCGCAGAUAUCAGGAGGAACACCGAUGGCGAAGGCAGGUCACUGGGCCGCGAACUGACGCUGAGGAGCGAAGCAUGGGGAGCGAACAGG